GACGAACGCUGGCGGCGUGCCUAAUACAUGCAAGUUGAGCGAUGAAGAUUGGUGCUUGCACCAAUUUGAAGAGCAGCGAACGGGUGAGUAACGCGUGGGGAAUCUGCCUUUGAGCGGGGGACAACAUUUGGAAACGAAUGCUAAUACCGCAUAAUAACUUUAAACAUAAGUUUUAAGUUUGAAAGAUGCAAUUGCAUCACUCAAAGAUGAUCCCGCGUUGUAUUAGCUAGUUGGUGAGGUAAAGGCUCACCAAGGCGAUGAUACAUAGCCGACCUGAGAGGGUGGUCGGCCACAUUGGGACUGAGACACGGCCCAAACUCCUACGGGAGGCAGCAGUAGGGAAUCUUCGGCAAUGGACGAAAGUCUGACCGAGCAACGCCGCGUGAGUGAAGAAGGGUUUCGGAUCGUAAAACUCUGUUGGUAGAGAAGAACGUUGGUGAGAGUGGAAAGCUCAUCAAGUGACGGUAACUACCCAGAAAGGGACGGCUAACUACGUG
rnacentral:rRNA from 1 species